UAUUGACUUAAGGGGCAACUCUUAACCGGCCAGACAAGGAAAAACCGAGAGGUUCAAGCUUGUAGGGCGGAAAACUCCGCAGAGUAGCGCUUAACAUAGCGGGGUGGCGGGUUCGGCGGUAGCGCGUUCAACGACGAACCAA
rnacentral:ncRNA from 1 species